rnacentral:rRNA from 1 species
GACAGAGGUCCCGAGCGUUAGGCGGAAUCACUGGGCUUAAAGCGUGUGUAGGCGGAUUUGUAAGUACCUUGUGAAAUCCCACGGCUUAACCGUGGAACUGCUGGGUAUACUGCGAAUCUUGGGCCAUCUAGGGGCUAGCGGAACAAACGGUGGAGCGGUGAAAUGCGUAGAUAUCGUUUGGAACGCCAAUGGUGAAAACAGCUAGCUGGGGAUGUGCCGACGCUGAGACACGAAGCCAGGGGAGCGAACGGG